UAAAGGAGAGAUUGGGAUUGGCUCUAGAGGAAUUAGCACUUAUGAAUUGAGGGGCUUCCCUAUAACCCUACUCUUCUUACUAGGCCUUAGUGCUUUAGACCAUUAGGUAUUGAUACUACUAAUAUUAGUGCUCUUAACUAGCGUUAUUCUCGGGAUUGCUAGUAUUGGGAAAAACCUUAGAGACAAGAAAGACCGACCCCUUCCUCCCUAGGAACUAUUGGCUGGACCGUAUUCACCUAUCGCCAUAGAAGGCCUUUUUUCUGAAACUGGCUUAAAGAAAACUGCAAUUGGGGGCUUGCUCAAAAGCAGAAAGAUUGGCAGGGUGAAGGAAAAGAACUCCAAUAGGUUGGGUUGAAAGAAAGUGAGCUGGCCUUUAUUCUUCAAUUGGAUUAAGCGAACUACCAAUGGCUGGAAUCGAUGCUUUGGAA
rnacentral:lncRNA from 1 species